CGAAAGCCUGACGGAGCAAGACCGCGUGAGGGAGGAAGGCUCUUGGGUUGUAAACCUCUUUUCUCAGGGAAGAAGCUCUGACGGUACCUGAGGAAUCAGCCUCGGCUAACUCCGUGCCAGCAGCCGCGGUAAGACGGAGGAUGCAAGUGUUAUCCGGAAUCACUGGGCGUAAAGCGUCUGUAGGUGGUUUAAUAAGUCAACUGUUAAAUCUUGAGGCUCAACCUCGAAACCGCAGUCGAAACUAUUAGACUAGAGUAUAGUAGGGGUAAAGGGAAUUUCCAGUGGAGCGGUGAAAUGCGUAGAGAUUGGAAAGAACACCGAUGGCGAAGGCACUUUACUGGGCUAUUACUAACACUGAGAGACGAAAGCUAGGGUAGCA
rnacentral:rRNA from 1 species